UGGCUUAGAAGCAGCCAUUCAUUUAAAGAGUGCGUAAUAGCUCACUGGUCGAGUGAAGUUGCGCGGAAAAUUACCGGGGCUAAGUUAUCAACCGAAAUUGCGGAUUUGUAAUUUAUUACAAGUGGUAGAGGAGCAUUCUAUUGUAGGAUGAAGUCAGAGCGUGAGCACUGGUGGACGAGAUAGAAGAGAGAAUGCUGGAAUAAGUAGCGAGAGCAGGGUGAGAAUCCCUGCCGUCGAAAGUCUAAGGUUUCCUGGGGAAGGUUCGUCCGCCCAGGGUUAGUCAGGACCUAAGGAGAGGCCGAAAGGCGUAUCUGAUGGAUAGCAGGUUGAUAUUCCUGCACUAUAUAAUACUUAAAAGAUGCAACUGACGCAGAAGUGGAAGGUGAGCAAGGAAAUGGAAAAACUUGUUCCGCAAGGGGGAGUGAAAAUAAAGUAACGAAGCACCAAGAAGCACGCUGACGAGAAAAGGUUGUAGAUCUUGUAUUAUAUACUUGUACCGCAAACCGACACAGGUAGAUGAGGAGAGGAUCCUAAGACGAGCGGGAGAAGCAUUGUUAAGGAACUCGGCAAAUUGACCCCGUAACUUAGGGAUAAGGGGUGCUGGUGUAAAAACCAGUCGCAGUAAAUAGGCCCAAGCAACUGUUUAACAAAAACACAGGUUUCUGCUAAAUCGCAAGAUGAAGUAUAGGAGCUGACUCCUGCCCAGUGCUGGAAGGUUAAGGGGAAAGGUUAGGAAUAAUUCAUUAUAUCUGAAGCUUUGAACUCAAGCCCCAGUGAACGGCGGCCGUAACUAUAACGGUCCUAAGGUAGCGAAAUUCCUUGUCAGGUAAGUUCUGACCCGCACGAAAGGCGUAAUGAUUUGGGAGCUGUCUCGACAAUGUCCCCGGCGAAAUUGUAGUACUAGUGAAGAUGCUAGUUACCUGCGACAAGACGGAAAGACCCCAUGGAGCUUUACUAUAGCCUGAUAUUGGGCUUUGGUAUCUUAUGUACAGGAUAGGUGGGAGACUAUGAGAUUAAGACGCAAGUCUUAAAGGAGUCAACCUUGGAAUACCACCCUUAAGAUAUUAGAGUUCUAACUUGUGAUCAUAAACUGGUCAGAGGACAUUGUCAGGUGGGUAGUUUGACUGGGGCGGUCACCUCCUAAAGAGUAACGGAGGUGCGCAAAGGUUUCCUCGGCACGGUCAGAAAUCGUGCUAAUGAGUGUAAAGGCAUAAGGAAGCUUAACUGAGAGAGAGACAUCUCGAGCAGAUACGAAAGUAGGUCUUAGUGAUCCGGUGGUAGAAAAUGGAAUUGCCAUCGCUCAACGGAUAAAAGUUACCCUGGGGAUAACAGGCUUAUCUCCCCCAAGAGUUCACAUCGACGGGGAGGUU
rnacentral:rRNA from 1 species